GACGAACGCUGGCGGCGUGCCUAAUACAUGCAAGUCGAGCGAAUCAUUAGGAGCUUGCUCCUGUUGGUUAGCGGCGGACGGGUGAGUAACACGUGGGCAACCUGCCUGUAAGACUGGGAUAACACCGGGAAACCGGUGCUAAUACCGGAUAAUCCUUUUCUUCUCAUGAAGAAAAGCUGAAAGACGGUUUCGGCUGUCACUUACAGAUGGGCCCGCGGCGCAUUAGCUAGUUGGUGAGGUAACGGCUCACCAAGGCGACGAUGCGUAGCCGACCUGAGAGGGUGAUCGGCCACACUGGGACUGAGACACGGCCCAGACUCCUACGGGAGGCAGCAGUAGGGAAUCUUCCACAAUGGACGAAAGUCUGAUGGAGCAACGCCGCGUGAGCGAUGAAGGCCUUCGGGUCGUAAAGCUCUGUUGUUAGGGAAGAACAGGUACCGGAGUAACUGCCGGCACCUUGACGGUACCUAACCAGAAAGCCACGGCUAACUACGUGCCAGCAGCCGCGGUAACAC
rnacentral:rRNA from 1 species